UACGGAAUGUGCAAACGUUAUUCGGAUUUACUGGGCUUAAAGGGCGCGUAGGCGGCUUGCAUAGUCGGUGGUGAAAUCCUGCAGCUUAACUGUAGAAGUGCCUCCGAUACUAGCAAGCUCGAGGGAGGUAGGGGUCUGCGGAACUUCUGGUGGAGCGGUGAAAUGCGUUGAUAUCAGAAGGAACGCCGGUGGCGAAAGCGGCGGACUGGACCUCUUCUGACGCUGAGGCGCGAAAGCUAGGGGAGCAAACGGG
rnacentral:rRNA from 1 species